rnacentral:lncRNA from 1 species
UUUUUUUUUUCUUUCUUUUUGUAAAAUAUAGUUGACUAAAAUGCUUUAGUCUCUUCAUGACCAAGCUAUGUGCUUGUUUUUACAUGCUACUCUUUCUUUGGAUGUUAGCUCAGCCCAGAGCAACUAGGUCAUUUAUGUAAGAAAAAGGGCAGCGACUAGGCCAUUAAGAAGGCAUAAACUGUUAAGCUGUUGCUUCAGCACAUAGCUGCAUCGGAACUUUAGAAGUCUGAAAUAAAUCAGCCAACUGUCAAUACCAAUCUUUAUGAUUUUACUUAUUUUAGUUAACACUGAAGGCAUUUUGUAUAGAACAGAACUUCCGUCAUGACAUGUACUACAGUGUGUAUACUUGCAUAGCGGUUUCUAAGUUUUAAAACAUUCUGUACUAAAGCAUUUUCUAGGUGACCAGAUGCAUUGCGUUGUAUUACUUUGUUAGCUUAAAUAACCUAUCCAUAUAGAACAGAUCAUUUAUGAUGAAUCCUAGUUCCUCUCAUGCAUCUGAAGCUCAUCCAACUGAUCAUGUGAAGGUUACACGCUACAAUCUAGACUCCCCACCUUCCAAUGCGUAUACCAUAUGACUUUCUACCAAGCACUCAUACAUUGCUUCGCGAUGGUUCAAAUCAUUGUAUUUACUAAUAAUUUUUUUUAUUUCACUAGAGUUUGCUUCCUCUUCAUUGUAAAUUCUUUUACUAAACAUUCAUUCUCCUUUUUCAGUAAAUUUUGUGUAAGGAAAGAGUUUUUGACAAGCCCAGAUGUGUUGAAAAAGCGGCUUAUAUUUGUUGGCAUUGCAAUGGUUAUCCUAUCACCCUGCCUUGUGAUAUUUCCAUUGGUUUACGUCAUUCUAAGGCAUGCUGAAGAAAUUUAUAAUCACCCCAGUACAGCAUCAUCUAGACGAUGGUCAAACUUAUCAAGGUGGAUCUUUAGGGAGUAUAACGAGGUAGCUGCAGCUGUAACAAAUUAUCUAAAUGAAUCUUUGGGCUCUCCAUUUUUCCCUUUCUUAAUUUCUGCUGCUAAUCAAUCUUAUAGGUAGUAUCUGCGAGUAUUGUUUUACUAAUCUAAAAGUGAUUACAAAAUUGCAGGUUGAUCACUUCUUCAGACACAGAAUGAACAACAGUGCUGUUCAUUCUUUAAAUUACUUGAAGCAAUUUCCAACCCCACUGGUUUCCAUCAUGGCUAAAUUUGUAUCUUUUGUUUCUGGUGGCUUGGCUGGUGCUCUAAUAAUCAUUGGAUUUGUGGGUGAAUCUAUUCUUGAAGGACAUGUAAGCCCUAUUUUUUUAUUGUUUCUUUGGCUAUAAUGCAAAUAUUUGCUAUAAAUCACUUCAAGAUGCAAAUACCUCCUUGGUCCUUUCUAUUAGAAUAGUUGUCUUACUUUAUAGGAUCAGUGUUCCAUAUAGUUGGCCGCCAUAGGAAGUAGAUGGUAGUGUGGGAGGGUUUGACGACAUAUUAGGUGAACACAUUUGAUCCAGUGGACUUGAGUGCAUAGUUUUAACCAUCGUCACCCCCAUCUUUUCAUGCUGCCAACAAGUGCCAAACACUUGAGGUCACAAAUUGCAUCAUGUUAGAAUUAUGCAUAUGGAUUAGAUCUAUGCGUGUGGUACUGUGGUAAAUGCAAUUAUUUUAUGACAUAUUUGCAACUUGACAUAACUUCUAGGGAUCUCUGCAACUUGAUGUGACUUGUAGGGGGAUAUUAGCAUUAGCAUUUUCUUUCGUAUUUAUGUAGUACAUGUAUCUUAUUCACUUUGUAAAAUCUUAUAUGUUAUGCCUGUAGAUUUUUGGAAGAAAUCUUCUCUGGUACACUAUUGUUUUUGGAACAAUAGCAGCUAUAAGUCGGAAAGUAGUGGCUGAUGAGCUUCAAGUUAUUGACCCAGAAGGGGCCAUGUGCCUCGCUGUUCACCAAACACAUUACAUGCCAAAGCGGUGGCGUGGUAAAGAGAACAGCGAACUUGUCCGAAGAGAAUUUGAGACAUUAUUUCAGGUAACUAAUUGACCUCUAGUUACAGUUCAUUUAAGAUAGCUUAGCUGGUUCAGAAUUGUUUGUGUGCCAUAUAUUUUGCCAACUGGCCAAGGUAUUAAAGAUUUUCGCAUGCAAGCCAUACCAUCUAGCUUUAAAAUGAGUGUUCCAAACUUCCAGUCCAUCCAUUUUUGCUGUAUUCAUUGACCCCAUUUGAAAUUCCUCAUGCCAUUGCAGUACUAAAAGAAAUAUUCUCAAUUCCUUUUCUACUACCUCCAUUCAAUUUUGUAAUGCAUAUUUUUAUUGGAAAAGUCAAACUUUACAACUUUUUACCAAUGAUUAUUCUAAUUAUAUGGAAGUUCAGUGUCCAAAAGUUAGAAGACUAGAUUCGUUCUUCAAAGUUCUUUCGUUGUAAUGUUGAUUUGGUAAUAAGUGACUAUAAAGAGAUAUUGACGGUCAAGAUAUCCUAAAGAUUUUCUACCAUUCUAAACUUGAGCACUACUUGGGGGAAAUGGUGGUUUGGAUCUAUGCGAGAAACUGUUUUGGGAAGCUAUGUAGAUUCAUAGAAAUCUGUCUUGCAUAGUUGCAUUAAGAUCUUGGUUCUACUUAUACAGUUUAUGAUGGGGUAUAAGCCAAUCAGCUUUGUGGUUUGCUGCUUCAAUUAUAUGGCAAUAAGAAUUGACUUGACAAUCUGUGUGUGCAGUACACUAUAAUUAUGCUACUUGAAGAGAUGGCCUCCAUUUUCAUCACUCCUUACUUGCUUAUUUUUGAGGUACCAAAGGUAAUGUUCUGACUACUCAACAUUGAUUUUCAUGUCAUCCAAGUUUAUUGACAGUUCUGAAUUCUUAUGAUGCACAGCGUGUUGAUGACAUUCUGCGCUUCAUCUCAGACUUCACAAUUUAUGUAGACGGAGUGGGAGAUGUAUGCAGGUCUUUGCUUCUUUUUCUUCUGUUACUUUCUUAGCGCUCAUUUUUUGCUUGAUCUUUGCAAUACUUAACACAUUUAUUUCUCUAUGUUUACAACAGUCUAAGCAUGUUUGACUUCAAAAGACAUGGAAAUAGAAACUAUGGGUCGCCGUUCAAUGGUCUUAAAGGUCUCAGGAGCUCCCAAGGGAAGAUGGAGAAAUCAUUCUUAAGGUACAUGCAAUUUCAAGUAUUUCUUUUACUUAUUUACUAGGCAUUUAGUGUGGUUUAUCACAAGUGCUGUAAAGGAUUGAUUAGAUGAAUUGUAGUACUUCAAUAGUUGAUUGCUCUGAAGUUUGUGGCCAGCUUGCCUGGGCUAGGCAGCACCCCAGGCAUCCGAUUUUGAGAGCACCUGGGCUGGAUGGUGCUGUCUUGUCUGGGAAGCUAGCCGGGGCAGCAACCCAACAGGUGUACUUCUACUGUAGUGUAGUUGAAUAUGAUGCUGGCAAAUUUAUGUACCAUUUGAGUGCCUUAGAUUACUUAGAUAGUUUGUCCCUGCAAAACGUGUACCAUCUAAAAUGGCACCAAUCAGCAUAUGGCCCUGUUUGGAAACAGGGGUUUCAGUAAGUCAAUAAUUUGGAUUUACCCUACCCCUCUUCCAAACAGGCCUUAAUAUGGUGAUUUGGUGGAAAAUGUUGCCUAGGCAAAUGAAAAUAUCCAGUAUUUCUAAUUUUAAUCGAUUGAAGGUACUUGUAUAUGAAGGCUUGCUUUUAUCCUAAGUUUGGACAAGAGCAGUACCCUUUCUACUGUCACACCUUUUGUCGACUGCCCUGUUGACACUAUAGAUGUAGCAGAAUAUAGGCACUCACAAUCUUUUAGUACUGAUUAGAAGAUAUUCCAGGUAAGCAUCAUUUAGCUUCGCCUGUAUAGAUGUAGGUCAGUAGUCUUAUAAAAGUAGUUCGAGAAAAAAAAAGUAGUCUUAUAAAGCACUGAGUAACAGCUUUAGCGAGCACCAUUCUAUUAAGUCAACUCUGCAUAUUGUACACUUCGAUCACAUGCCUUGGUUUCGAUGCCUCUAUAGAGGCCUGUACUUUGCAAUGCCCCUCCCCCUCCCCCUCUUCUUCCCUCCUGUUCUUUGGGAGUUCAAGAUCAGAAUAGGUUACCUGUCCUCAACUUUUCAAAGUUCAAACCAGAUUUGUUGUCAUUGCAAAACCAUGAGCAGCAAUAUGAAGACUAAUUUUGUUACAUGAUUGUUUUCAGUUUUCAGAGUGUCUAUCCAUCAUGGGAGCCAAAUGCUGAUGGCAAACAGUUCUUAUCUAACCUCCAAAAGUUCAAAGAAAAGCAAAUACGUCAACAAGCGCUUGCACAAUACCAAGCAAUGGAAGCUUCAGGCUUUGUGGCAGGCACUAGAGGUCAAAGGGAUGAUACCUUCCAACAACUCAAUAGUGAUAUUCAUGGCCAUGCUGAGACCACUUUGCCUCCUGUUUAUAACUUGAGCCCCUUGGGAUUGCUCGACACGGACCAAAGAACUCAUCCAUAUAUCCUGGACUGGUAUUACGUGUGUCAUCCACCACACCAAGAUAGAGCUGAGGCCCCCCAAUUUGAACAAGCAUUCCCUGAGACUGGUGUGAUCACAAGUCCACCAGCAAGGGAAACGUCUGAAAUUGAAGAAGUUGGGGACUGGGACUACGAGUUGUACGAAAGGGUUCAAAGUCAUCUGGGGGCAUCCACAUCAAGUGCUUUGUUCCGGAACACUCCAGUGAAGCACCAUGGUACAGAAGAUAAGACAAACAGCAAUUGGUGGGCACAUGCCCCUGCAUAUCCUUCUGGUCCCCAGGGCAGCUUCAUCGAGCCUCCGGAAUUUGGAAAUCGAUACAUGACAGAUCCUCAUUCCAGUAAUCACAGUGGCGAUACAUCAGAGGGAAGCAUGGAGGAUCUAGAGCAGAGCAAUCGCAGAAGCAGCAGCGUGUGGAGGAGCCCGCAAGCUUUGUCCAAGACAAGAUAUAUGGACGACUCUGACAUUGAGGAAGGGCUAAGCCUGCAUUUUGCUGAUGUCCAUCAGAAGGAUGAAGAUGAUAGACACCUGGUCAUGGAUCAUCAAGAUCCCGCGCCAGCUGGUCUUCCAGUAAGAAUAAUACCUAGAAGCAGUGACCCUGUGUAAGCUGGUUAAACUCAACAGGACUAGUUGAUGCAUGUUAACGGUUGUAAUUUGUCGUUUGAACCACUUCAGAGUCAAAUGGUGCGUCUCGCCCAUAAACUGGCAAAACAGCCACAGAUUCUUUUGUACAGGUCAGUAACCUCUGUGUAUAUAUAUUAUAUAGCCUCCUGCUCAGACCAGGGCGGGUAAGAUAGAAACAUUCUUUUACAAGUUGGAAGGGUGCUUGGUUGCUGCAAUGCAACACAAGUGCUUUAAAGUUCAUGACUUGGUUUAGGUCUUGCAAGUUGCAGCAUUGAAAUGCAGAACCUGAAUAAGCUAGCAAUUGUCCGUUUUUUCGUGGCGUGGCUUCUAGUUCAUCGUAGAUCUACAGUUAUGCAAACGCGGACGCCGGGGCUGAUCAGCUGCAGAUCCGGUGGGAUCCGUUGCCGGAAUCCUGUUGCCCUAGGGAGUUCGGCAGCAGGAUGAGCGAAGCAAUUCCUGGGCGCCUCUGUCAUUCUGCCAUGAAGUUUGCUGUUUUAGGGCACAGGAAGUCGUUGGCGCGGUGAUUCUGCUCUCUUAGAGCCAGACAAGGAGCUUCCAGCUUUAGCUUUCUUGUCGCUCUCGAGAUCGUUGUCCUUACAAAGAGGCCGUUGGUAGGUCUGAAAGUAGGUUUCGUACGCACGCAACAAGGUCGAUCCCAAACUCUUGCAGCUAUAGGAGCAGGCAGGCUGGAGCAGCAGAGCUCUGGAAUUCCAGGGCAGACCGGCGACACGUCACACGAACGGAAGGUGACCCUGAUCAGCGUAUUGCCACCAGUUAAUGGUAACUGCUCCAUUGUAGUAGGUCUCCAAACACACAAUCUGGAGAGAGAAAAAAAUGGUACAACGUUGAUUUAAAUAAUAAAGUUUCAUUCACUGUAAGUGUAAGGAAUGAUGAUGUGCAAAAUAAAAGCUCUUUUGUGUCAGAGGAAUCAUCUCAAUUUUGAAAACCACUAAUCGCAAUUCAGGAAACCGUGCUCGUUGCAGCCAGAUCCAGCCAUACUGAAGAUCCCCUAUUUCCGUACCGCUGGCUGUAGUGGUUGCCAAGGACCACUCCAGAGCGUCCUUUCGCCCUGCUGUCAACUUAGCGUCCCAUUCUCACACAGGAUGGUUUCCCGCACGUUUUGCUCCCCAAUCCCCGUGGACUCCACCACAACCACCCGUCGUUUUCGCGGAUUCAAACCGGCAACGAACGCAACGGCCCAUCCCAAACACACUCGAUCCGACCUCAUCUCUCCCCACGCACCAACGGGAGAAGAGGGAGGAGUCCGCGGCGAGAUGGCGGAAAUAGGAAAAAAAAGGUUGGGCGGUCAUUUUCCCCGACCCGAGUUGAUCUACCGCACCGCAACUGCAGCUGCCCCCGAAAGCAAUGGCGAUCCGCGGCCACAGGCGUCUCGUACCAGGUUUGGUCCGAUCCGCGGCAGUUGGGCGGUAGGUCAGCGGUAGUUGGGAGACGGGCUCAGGGCUCUUCUCGUUUCUUGCCGCCUCCGUUCGGCCGUUCGGCGUGCAUGAGCAUGACAUGACCCGGUUAAACUAGGCGUCGGUCCUUCCGUCGUCACAACUCACAAGGCAACCACAGCCUCAUCAGGAGCCCACCAGGUCCUGGAAACCCUCGACAGCCAGCCGAGAGGAGGAGGUCGGCGAAAGCUCAGCGAGCUCCCGUGAAAGCGAGGCGCCGGCCAGUGUAUUACGCGCCGCUGCAUGCGUGAAUAUUUUUCCUGGUUUCGUAUCGAGGGGACAAGACAGCCAGCCGUGAGCACAUAUGUCACUGGAGGGAGCCAGGGAUCAUUGGUCUUCGGCCUUGUUUACUUCCUCCAAAAACCCAAAAUUUUUCAAGAUUUCUCGUCACAUCGAAUCUUUAGACGUAUGCAUGGAGUAUUAAAUAUAGCUGAAAAUAAAGACUAAUUACACAGUUUGGUCGAAAUUGACAAGACGAAUCUUUUAAGCCUAGUUAGUCUAUGAUUGGACAAUAAUUACCAUAAACAAACGAAAAAACUACAGUGUAACAAAAUGUUUUGGUUGAGGAACUAAACACGGCCUUAGCCAGUUUUCAAUGUAGCUGUAGGAAGUCAAAUGGUUGUGUUUUCAGCUGACAGCGAGACGGUGUCGGUAAAUAGGUUGAAAAAUAGUGUGUCCGCGAGGAAACUUGUACUCGAAUUGAUGAUUUUGUGUGUGGGCCAGUGGACGUUUAUAUGGAGGGCUUUUUGACGAGGGAUGUUGGUUCGCUGAAAGUUCAAAUGAAUUUUGUCAGAUCAGCCGUCGUACCCCGUCGAUUAUUCCGUUGUAUGAUCUCAGAUUUGACCUUUUGAUGUGAAUGGGUAAAGUUUUGUAUUGUUCCCAUUCCGCUUGUUUGGCCAGAUGGCACCAUCUUGAGAGUUGAGUGAAUCAAGUUCACAGUUUCACAUGAGAUCCACUUUUGGCCUUGCGAAAUAAGUACUCGGUUUCACUCUAACUGGUUUAAGAUUCAGGGUAAUUUCCUUCCGAACCAGAUACUGACCCACAGUAUGCUUUCUUUUUCAUUGCAGUACCACGACACACAGAUUCAGGAUGUUGGUAUAAGUUAUAACGAGGCUUGUUUAUUUAUAGUAAUAAUCUCUCACUGGUCGGCUCUGCUUCAUUAAAAAAAACUCGAGAUCUCGGAGCAGAGCUUUCCUAUGUCACCAUACCACAAGGAAAAUUUUACUGAAUGGUCAAUAUUCAGUUACCGCCAUAUAGGGUACUGACGACAUACUUAGAACUCGACAUGGAUAUAUUAUAUUUCUUCCAUCCAUCUAUUUUUAUGUAAAAAAGUUAGAAUGAUAGAUAAAUGGCAUGGCAAUGUGGCAUGACCCACCAGAGAGGUCCAUUAAGCUCCAAGCUGUUGCCGACCAGCAACUUUUAAAACCUUCCAUCUCCACUUGCUACUAUGUACACGUGGCAACUAAAACCUAGAAACGGCAAAUUAAAAAUCCUACUCCAUUUACAUCCUAACCCACGCACCAUCCCAUAUUUACACAAGGAUCCAUCCCAUCGAGCAAGCACGUGCCCCCCCCUUGAUGGCGUCCUCACGAGCAGGAUCUUAUGAGGCCGAGGCUGGCCAGGUUCUUCUUCACGAGGCUCCCGAGCGAGAAGAUCCCCGCACCGCCGCCGCCGCGGCCCGCGUCGCCCUCCGUCGAGCACAGGCGCGGCCACCGCUCCUCGUCCACCCGGAGGCUCUCCGUGCCGAUCCUCUGGAUCACCUCGUCGAUGGUCUUGGGGUCCGCGGGCCGGCCGGCCACGUCGGUGACGUGGAACACGUUCAUGGCCUUGUCGCCCCUGGUGGUGAUCUCGGCGUGCGUGACCGAGAGGCUGUUCUCCCGGAACACGCGCGUGACGUAGGCGAGCAGCCCGCGGCGGUCGGUGAUGCGCAGCUCCAGCCUCACGCCCUGCGCACAGAGGAUCGCUCAGUCUGGCGUUAGAGAAUACGAGUAGACAGAGAGGUGGUGCGGCUGGGAUUUCGGCCGAACACAUGGCGGUGAAGUGGAAAGUUGGGCAGGGAACGAAAGAGACGGUUGCGCGCUUGGGACUUGGGAGAGUGAAGAAGAAGAAGGUGUGUGUGUGUGUGUGUGUGUGUGUGUUGGGGGGGGGGGGGGGGGGGGGGGGAUCUGGUGUCGCGUGCUUUUGCUGCGGUGGCGUGGCAUGGAGGGAAAGGAAGGGAGAUAUUCAGCGAUCACGCACCUCGGAUGCGCGCCUCUCGAUGGCCGCUUGCAAGCAUUGGAUCACGCGCCGCCUCUCGGCCGCCGAGCUAAUUGGCCGCCCGUCCAACCGCCUGAUGUAGAACUCCUGCACCCAAGCCAUGUCAGCUUUAGCUCAGUUAAUAAGACCGUUGUAACAACAGGCGUGCAUAGGUAGUGUCUGAAUUCACCGCAGCAGCAAUUCAAUGAGUUUGGUAUUUGUAGGAUAUGCGUGCUUAGUACUAUAAAUAAAUUAUGCGGUCGUGAUUAUUCUGCGGUACAAUUUCGAAGCAGAAUAAUCUAGUAAUGCAAAUGAAACUAAAACUAAACCUUCAGUUUUAAAAUGACAAGUCCAGCAAAUUCAGUAAAAGGGAAUUUUCAUUUUCAUGAUAAAAAGUCGGGUUAACUUCAAGCAUACACACAAGAAUCACAAUCAAAGCAACCAAAAGGUAAAAGUGGAGUAAAAGUGAGAGAAAAAAUUGACAGAAAGGUCCGACGCGCCUAACGUAGCCAGUUACUAUGGAAACAUCGAGAUUCCUGGCAGGAAUUCCAACUGCAAGAACUCGUGAUGGCCGGGAAUUCAGUAAUGGCGGCCCUAGUUCAGCGCGACAAAAAUCAAGGUAGCACCGACCUAUUUUCUCCGGGAGGAGAAAAAACAUCUUUGGGGAUCAACCCAUCGAGAAAGAAAGAAACGCCUAGAAGGCUCACCUGCUGGGCGUGAUCGCCGUCCGUAUCGAACGUGCCGUGGUACACCACGUAAUCCAAGUCCGUCAAGGUGCAGACGACGUCGAAGAGCAGCUUGGGCCGGUCACGGCAGCUGACGGUGACCACCGAGUACCCUCUCUCCCCCCAAUCCUGCACGGCGACCGCCGUCGCGUCCGCCUGGUCGGCGCGGCACUCCGCCUCCCCGUCCUCGUUGAGAAGCUGGUGGAGCCUCCGGUCCAUGUUGACGGCCGCGGCGUCUUCCCGGACCAUCCUGGCGCCGAGCGCGCCGCCGCGGAGGACGUGCCUUAGCCUGGACUCGACGCGCCUGACCCGCGCCGCGUCGUCGAUGGGCGCGCCCGUCUCCACGUCGCGCACGAACACGAGGGCCGCGACGCGGCCGCCGUGCGUCCACGCCCUGGCGUCGGCGAUGUCGCAGCGGAGGUCGUGCAGCACGGCGAAGACCUCGGAGAGGAGGCCCGGGCGGUCGGCACCGACGAGCUCGAGCAGGGUGGGCAUCGCGGGCCCAGCCCCAUUCCCCACGGCGGCGGCGGGCGGUGUGCGGGGCGGCAAUGCGUCCGCGGUGAGCGAGGACUCGAGGCGCGCCAGCAGGGCGUCGGCGUCGGCCACCUUGCGUCCCGAGGCGUCGGUGACGUGGAAGACGUCCAUGAACCAGCGGCCGUCGUCGGAGGAGAUGUAGCCUUUGCGGACGCAGACGCCGUGGUCGGACAGAGCCGCCACCGCCUCGAGCAGCACGCCGUGCUUCCUCGCGCUGUGCACCUGCACCAGCGUCGCCGUCGCGCACACGCCGUUGUCCACCACCACCCUGCGCCAUCCAUCGCCGACCGAUCACCGACUGCUCUUUCCAUGGAAGGAAAGAUCCAUCCAAGUCCAAGAACGAGAAACCGCAGAGAAAAAAGAGACGAAAUUGCCCCCCUCCCCACCCCACCUUCCCUUACCUCGGGGUGUUCAUGUGGCGCACGAAGAGCUCGUACACCUCGGAGGGAUGGUACCGCUCCAUCGCCGCCGGGAAUCCUUCUCCUGGCCUUCGGCCUCUCCUCCUCUGCUCCGCUUCAGUUUCUCUCGACGCGGCGACGGUUUCCCUUUGGCGCGGGGACGUGGGUGCGUGCGUUUCUUUCCUCCUAGGCCGGGCAGGGCAGGGAGGCGGAGAUUUCGGUUCGGUCGGAGGGAUCGUGGAUUUGGUUGGGACUUGGGAGCGUCGCGGCGGUUCAAAAUUGGGUGCCGGGACGGUGGGUUUUCGCUCUGGUCUGGGCUGGCUGCCGCUUGCCGCCGAGCUGUGGCCUCUCCGCCUGUGUCUGUGUCUGUGUGUGUGGGGAUCGCCGGGGUUGUCUCGGUCAGCGUCCGUCUAAAAUGGGCGCGCGAGACCGGCGAUUUCACGCAACCCUUGCCACCGAUUGGUGGAGGGGGCGGGGUCUGGAGUCAAACGGCGGUCGCGGGCGAGGACCGGGCAAACGGAAUGGUAUGUGGUUGGGCUGCUGGGGUUGGACCGAACGGGUCCUGCUGCGAAAAUUUUUAUGUUUUUGCCCCCCACUACUACUAGUACCGGUAGGAGGCUACUACACAUGAGAAAGGGAGACGCUGCCCGGCUGCCGUGUGGAAAAAGCUUCAGGGAUCCGGUGGGAAAGUGACGAGUCAAGUGGCGUUGUCGUGGGAAGGGAGAGCGGGGGAUCGCCGCCCUCUGGCCCAUGCGUGGUUGCCAGCAGGCGCCUGGCAGGCAGCCUGGUGCCACGCCCACGCGCGGCGCGGAGGAGACCCCCCUUUUUCCGAUUCUUUCGUGCGUGCGUCUGGAUGCACGGGUACGUACACAGUAGUACUCACCAUUUGCCAAGCAGGCAAGCACUCACAACCCCUUGGCGCAGUGUAUUCAAACUAGUUUUAGCAUCGCUGUUGUCCGUUCGCCAUGGCUUUCCAUUCCCGCGAGAAGAUACGAUCGGUGUAUUGUAAUGUAAUGUAACGCGUUCUAUACUUUGGAAACCUGGUUCGGUGUGAUCCCGGGGACCGGGGUACGGAGGGAAGCUACGGCCUUGGCGAGCCUUGAUAGCACCGACCGGGAUCAACCACCGAGAAUGGCAGCACCACGCGCACGCCGGGCUGGAGCUCGUCGACACCUGACACAGCCCACACACACACACACAGCUUGCCCGCGCGCACGUACUCCGUCCGUCCGUAGGCAAAAAGCAUCCAUGGUCUGAUAUGUGCUGCUGGCCCGCUUCCACCGAACGGUGGUCCCGAGCAGGCAGGCAUCUCCACAUCUGCGUCUGUUCACACGACUCCAGUGGCUGGCUGAUGGGCGAUGGAUGGCCCAGUGCCACCGCGCGUUCCUUCCCCUGUUGCUUGCCGUCCAAGCCAACCAUUACCUGGAAUAUGCAGGACAAGUUCCUCUUUUUCCUUGGACCUGUCACCCGGAUUUCACUCGGUCAGAGAAAAUCGUCAGCGUGUUAGCACAUUAGAAAAGACUAAACGUGUCAUGAAUUCCAAGGAUAAAGAGAGUACUACUGCCCGUGGUCACCAUGCAAAUUAAAGAACCCAUCCGAAGGAUACGGGGACGGACUCCUCUCCAUCAUCACAGGUUCUUUUCACGGGAAAGGAUGUGCCGUAGGCGUUGAUUAAUCCAGGUUAGUUGGUGUCUAAUCCAUCCAGCAACAGCAACAGUGCUUCUGCUGCGACAAAUUAACCUGCGAUAAACUAAAACUAGGCUUCCCAUCGAAUCGAUGUUGCUGGUCGAUCGAUCGCCCGUCGGAGUCUCAUAGGCUCCAUUUCUGUUUUCCCCAGCUGGAUUUGCUUGCAAGUGAAGCACACGUUGUUAUAUGGGGGCAGCAGCUGCAGGUAGGGAGAAAUCUGGAGAGAUAUCAUAAUUAGUGAAGCAAUUCAAGUAGCAGUACGCUAGUUAAUGAUGCCGUCCUUUCCGCACAUGCCCUUUUUCGCUUGCACAAUUUCCUCCCGUCCCUGCAGAUCCUACAUAUAUGGUUGCGACUUUUGGGCUUAUGAUGAUGAGGGACACCACACGUGAUCGUUAAUUCGUUCUUGCAAAGUUUACAGUACAUACACAUGCACAUCUAUAUAUGUUCCUACACAUACACAGCGGCUCCUUUCGUCAUUCCUUGAUACAGUAUAUGCGACUGCGAGGAUGGUGUGAACACUAAACGUACGUGCGUGUUAUUACAGCUGCGUGUACUCGCAGUGUGGGCGUUUUCUUGCCGAAAGUGGGCGUUCCAAGCUGAUAAGAUCGCCGUGGAGACGGAAAGCACGCCAUCUAUAGCUAGUGCCGCACCAAGCACCCGGCGUUAUUUAUUGGCCCAAUGACACAUACAGUACUGGUGCGAUAAGAAUGUGAUCCGUGCAUCAUUGUGGCUGCUAGGCUACUGGAUCACCAUGCAUGCAUGUGACGAUCCCGUAGCGAGACCCCUCCUACUCCGUUAUCGGCAACUUGCGCGUCGCUAGGCUCGGGACCGCAUGGCCACGUACAGGCGGCACACACGAGAAAACGACCGUAUCGCCGCCGCCCCGCGGCACCGGGGGAAACGCGCCCCCUGGAUAGCGGCCGCCGGGCGGCAGAUCGGUGCGGCCGGUACGUACGUGUUGCGUGCGCAGGCCCGACGCCAACACUUUCUUCGCGCUGUGGUGGGGCUGGUGGCAUCGGCGGUCUGGCACCGAGCGUUCCGGUGAUCACAAGUCACGGUGCGUUGCUUUUGCUGUUCAAACGCGACGUGCUCAAAACGGCUUGGUCCGCCCUGCCCUCGCCUUCCGAUCGAGGACAGGAACUCCGCAAUUGGUUUGGAGGCAUGGCAGGCCGGCCAUUGCUUGGAACUCGGGAACCCACGCCAUGUUACGGGCGACACCGCUGGCCGUCGCUCGCGUGCCACGUAGCCGCCGGCCGCUCCUAAAGGGCAUCCCUAGCGUUUCAAGUUCCUUUUGGCCUUUUUGGAGGGUUUAACGUGGCUCGUACACUGUGGCUACUUAAAAAAACGUGAGAAAAGCUCAUCCAACUUGGCUUCAUCAACUUAUCUUGUUUGGUACUCUGUCCCAAAGGAACAUCUAUAUUUAAAACACGUUCAGAUUUUUUAAGUUUGAUUAACUGUUACAGGGAAAGUUUUUUUUUUAAAAAAAAACUUUACAAAAAAGAAAGUAAUAGUAAAACUCAUACUAUGUCUAACUCCUAAUAAUAGUAAAAGUUUUAAGCAUUGUUUCAAAAAGAAAGUAAAAGUUUUAAGCAAUUACCGUAAUUUUGACGGCUUCGUACAGUAGAACCACGGGCGGCAGAAGGGGGCGCCGGUCUACGGCAUCAACCGAGAUGAACGUCCGCGACGUGCAGCGCGUGGCGCUACCCCAUUGGCCAUCGCGGUGACGUGGUGCGCCCUUGGGCCGCGGGUCCGGACCGGCUCCUCCUGGGGCAGCGCGCCCUCGCGUACAGUAUGUGCGCCGCUCGGCCGGCUCCAAGGAAAAAGGGGAAGCAACGCGCGCGAACGUGUCGAUGUCCCACGCAGUGUCACGUGAGAGUGUGAGACGCCGCCAGAGGCGCGGCAUGUGCCGAGGCGCCAGCGACGCGGCGGGGCCAUGUGGUACCGGUCUCGGGGCCGGGGAACCGUGAGCCGUGAGCGUGAGAACGGGCAGGCAAUAGUGGUAAAAAUGUAUUUAUUAUUCUAAAUUGAUAUUUGGAGAGGUGCUAAACUUAAUAAUAGUAAAAAGUUAUAUAUCCUGUCCACCAUAACUACGAAUUCGAUAUAAAUAUACCAUAUUUGUCUUGGUAGCAGUCCACAUCAGCUAGCCAGCAUAGAGAGUGAAGGGAAAAAGACAUCCCCGCCCCUGGCGUUUUGCUCUUCCUUUCUCUAAGCUUAGGACGCAACACUGCAGUGUGUUUUUUUAUAUUUUCAGCAAACACAAGAUCAGAUAAAUGAUCGCACAUAUAUUGAAUCUUGUGUUUGCUGAAUAUUAUAUGUGAAUAUUAUCAGUUAAAUGAUUGCACAAUCAGCACUGUUGUGGUGAAUAUUAUAUGUGAUUAUUUAUAUGUGUUAAUUUAUCCAUUAUGUAUGAUCAUUUAUCUGAUCUUGUGUUUGCUGAAAAUAUAAAAAAAACAUACUGCAAUGCUGAUUGUGUGCGUCCUGAGCUGAAAGAAAGGGAGAGCAAGGCACCAGAGGCAAAGAGGUCUUUUUCCCUUCACCCUCCAUACUGGCCAGCUGAUGUGGACUGUCACCAAGGCAAAUAUGGUAUAUUUGUAUUAAAUUCGUGAUUCUAGUGAUAAAAAUGUAUUUACCAUUCUAAAAUUGGUAUCUGAAGAGGUGCUAAAUUUAAUAAUAAUAGUAAAAUGUUAUAUAUCCCGAUACCGACGGGCGAGUGCCGAGGGCUUCGUUAGGCCUCUAGAAACCGAGGAGAUCGCCGAUGGAUCACACCGUUCACACGCGGGGCGGGGGGAAACCAACCACGGCCGAGAACGCUGGGCGGCUGUCGUCGUCGUCGUGCCGCUGCACGGCGCGGCGCGGCACCACGCGAGGCCGAGCGGGCGCGCAUGUGCCUCCGGCUCGCCAUCACCUCGCUCCAUCUCUGAUUUCUUUCCAUGUGCGCGUGUUUCGCCGGAUCGCGUUCGUGGAUUGAUUCAUUAAUUUUGUCGCCGAGAGCAUCGCCGUGUUUUUCGCCCCCCGCAAAUUCGUCUCCCGCGCAUCAUCAUCUGGAUGGAUUCUGCAGGGAGCGAACGAAAGCGAUAGUGCCGGUACGGUACUAGCGGCAUUUUAGUAUUUCUGAUUAAGGAACCUGAUGCGUGCUGGUUUAAUAAUGAUUCAUUGAUUCUGGAGAUAAUAAGCGCAAAUAAACAGGAUUCUCCUGCUUCGUCCACAAUCUUGGAGGACAGCGACACCCUCGUCCUUCCAUUCUUUGUUUUAAGCAAGCAAUAUCUUAACUGCGGUUUAGCACGAGGCCCCAUCCGCCGUGCUUGCUUACUUUCGGUUGCGUCGGUGAUGUCGGCCAGCUGGACGAACAAACAACCGCUUUUUUCAGACUUUAUUUGCUUUAUUAUUUAUUUUACCCGGCCUCGUGGUGAGAGAAUCCAGGUCGAUCACUGCGUGUAUACCUACUCGUCACAGCAGGGCGAAGUUGGUGGCUGUUCGUUCACCAACCUGUCGUCUCCGGCCGUUCCGUCCCUGUCGCUUGUUGCCACGGUCUCAUUCUCGUGCUGCAUGGCCUUGGCUCUCAUGCUCGCUCGCAUGCGUUUGGCGUUCGCGUUUUGGCACUGUUGCUUGACGUGCCGACGAGCAACCAAACCAUGCUGAGGGUGAGGUGUUAAGCAUCACAGAUUCCUAUCCUAUCCUACCUGCACAAAACUAGUACUAGUACUCCUAGAAUUCAGGUGGGUAAUGGAUUCAGGGGAAACGGAACUUUUGUGGAACAAAUUCUUUGGCGGUUAGAUUCGCAUUCCGUUCCGUUUCCGCGCGAUGCGAAUCCGAACGAUAAUGCAGAUAGGGGAGGGCAUCGUGGCGAGACGAGGGGUGUGACGAACACGACACGACGGCUGCCCGGCCGCUGGCGAGCUUGCAUCACGUUUUGGUUCGAGAUGCUCUGGCCACUUGGGACACCGGCCAGUGCACCUGGGGAGGAAUGUGCCUGCCUGUCCAUUCGAUGCUAUGCUUCCUCUGAAGAUGCAGCAGCAGCUCAGCUUGCUGCUGCCUGCGUGCACAGGUCCUUCCAGUCAGGCAGGCCUGAGCGAGUGAGCCUGCCUUUGUUCGUCAUUCCUCGAUGCAUCGCAUCAUGCAUCUUUUUAAGCUUUGUCAAGCGGUGUAAACGAGAUCAGAAUCCAUCAGAUCGAAAGUUUGAUGCAAAGCUGCGUAAGAUAGGCACAAGAAGGCAGGAGGCACCGGGUCGGCGCUCAUGGAUAUUUCGUUUUCGAGAACACGCACAAGAACUGUGUUCUUUUAUUGGUUAAGAUGAAAAUGGAGUUUACGAUGUGAGCCAAGCGAGUGGCGCGCACAUUUGCUGCUUGCAGAAUAUACGGCCCGCACCGUCCACCGAUGGCGAUGGAUGCAUGCGGUGUGUCGAUGGCUGUGCGUUGCUUCAGUCUCACCUCUGUAUGUAACUGUAACAAAGACCAGUGACGAACUUAUCCAGCACAACAGUUGAUACGCCGGCACAUCAAGCUGUAAUACUCUGCUCUCUGCUCAUUAGCUCUGCAGUCCAGGGUCCAGCCUCGUUAUCAGGAAACAGGUUGUCGAAUGCAUGGCCCAACUCGGAGACAUCUCAUCUCAGGCACAGGCUUAUCCAGCACAACAGUUCAUACGCCGGCACAUCAACCAUCAGACGUGAAAACCACCCAUGAUUUUCAGCAGACACAUAACGAUCGAGCGCGUCAUUUCGAAACAAGAUUAAGCAGUGCGUAAACAUACUACCGCCAAAGAGCUCCUCCAGGUGAGACAUUGAUAGCACGGAGCACGGCACCAGGAUCAUAUAUUCCCCGUCGCAGGAACGCACGGCACGGCCGCACAGGUCCGGCGGGGCGGGGCCCCGAGAGUGACGCGCGGCGGAUGAUGCAUUACAUGCAGAUGCAGCUCAUGCGGACGCCCGGGGUAUUCGUCUGAUCAAAACGGUGCCGCGCGUCGGCGCUAGCAGCCCAUUCCAGCAGCAUCAAGCGCCAUGCAGGGAUGCAGAUGAUCGGCGCGCGAGAGCAUGCGAUGCUUUGGAUCUUCAAACUGGCGCCAAGGGGCGUGUAUACUGUUCUCUUAAAUCUUCUGAUCCCCAAAACAUUUUUGUUUGGGCAGUUCGGAUCAAGCAAAUUUUUAUUUCAGAAGUUAAUCGCAAUUCAACUUCUAGCCUUCUUCAAGUGAAGAAAUUUAACUUCAACUCUGUUUCAAAGGUUCCUUUUUGGAAUAAUACUGACUGAAACUCUGAGCUGACUUGAAGCAACGCUAAGACGAGCUUUGCAACUUUAAAACGAGAACUUGAGGAGUGAGUAUUUAGGCCUACUGGUUCACUUAAAUUAGCUCUGAUUGCUGCAAGGUGAAGGAACUUGUACGACAAACGGUACAGCUUUUAGAUUGCCAAUGUCGAUACUGUAUUUAAGUGGAGUUGGGCAUUUCAUGCCAGUGCAGACCUUGGCCACUUUCUAUUUGGCUGCACACAUGCAAGAGCCAAGAGGGGUACUGCUGCAACCGGGGCACAACGUUAUCGAAGCAUAAAUACGAGAAUACAUGGUGGAUAUGUGCCUAUGUCGUAGAUAAUUAAUGAGUAUCAAGGUGAGAUUAUGGAGCUUUGAUUGGUUUCGUUCUACCGUGAUUUGGAAAAACAAGGUGUUGAGUUAGUAUGUCUUGUGCAACAUGUUUCUUAGCUCGUAGAUGUGCAAUUGUUAAUAAGUUGGUGAAAAUCUUUGAGCAGGGCACCUUCGAUUGAUUCUUGUGCUCAACCUUGGUGCUAUGAUCUCAAGGGAACAUGUUUAAGCUUUGCCACUUAGCUCGUCACGAAGGUGAUUCCUGGAUCGCGGCCGGCUUCAGGAGUUUGGCGCCACUGUUCGCGUUUGGCGCUUGACGUUGCACUGCUUUCUUAGUCGCACAUUUGUUUGCCACUUAGUACAAUCCUCUAAGCUCCACCGUCCAAGCCGGUGUCUUGUGUAAGUGUUCCCCUCGCUGUUGGCCCAUGGCAGCUCGCCGUCAAGCCACGCCGGACGUGUAAUUUGUAUCUAAACUCCCCUUAACGAAGCACGUGCAGUUCAUGCUUUCGUGAAAAAAAACUUUGCCCUUCAACUGAUUUUCUACUAGCACAUUGAAUUCUCUCUUUUGAGUUUUACAAGAAAACUCCAAUUUGAGAGAAAUUUGUGGUGAAGCUUUAAUUUAAUGUUUUUUUGAAAGGUUGUUUGGGAUUAUCUUCACAAUGAGUUAGUCAGGGUACGGUAUGGGACAAGUUUCAUAAUAUUUUUGAACUUAUUUGGAUCGAUUUUGGAGGGGGGGGGGGGGGGGGGGUUUCUUCAGACAACAACUAGCUGAAUCAAAACCAGUAGUCUGGUUUGGUGAACUAACUUAUUUUGAGAAGGUACUUCCUGGAAGUGAUCCUUACUCUUCUUCGGAAGUGAUCGUCUCUCAUUCUUGAGAAGAGGAAAUUUUAAGAUCUUAUUCACAUCUUUUUGUGUCCGCCAUUCGGUCCUUCAAAAUGGAAAGAUGAAUAGAGAGACUCCAUCUGAUGGCCAGCGCCUGAGGCAACUUCAGCACUAGAGGGCAUUGUUCGUCGCAAUGCUUCCAACAGUAACCUCCAGGCACAACCAGAAAACCAAGCGAAACAAUGGUAGCAGGACGCUACAAGAAGCGGAAGCUCAUCACAGAUAGCUGCAAAGGAAAUCGAACAACACACAGGGGAUGUUUUUUAUAGAACCCUUCAUGUCUGGCUAGAUAUCGUCUACUGUCUGGGUGUUGCUUGUUAACUCAUAGAGUUAUAUGCUUGUGCAGGCUACAGCAGAUCUAAGUUGUUUGGUUUGAAGUAGAUAUAUCUGACAAAUUUUGAUCCACAUCAGACCUUGUUUGGAUGUUAUCGAAUUUACCUCAAUCCACAUGUGUUGGUGUGGAUUUGGGUGAAAUUUAGUUCAAGUUCCACUCCAAUCCACCCCAACACAUGUGGAUUGAUACAAAUCCGACUACAUCCAAACAAGGCCUCAGUUGUAAAGGAAUCUCACCAGACAACGUUGCCUGCGAGCCUCAACCGUUUUUAUAUAUCUGGACUGGCUGGACUAGGCAAGUAACCAGGGUUACCAGCUGCAUCCAGAAACUCUACAGGCCAGGCAAUGUGUCAAGGAACCGCAACCAAACAGCUCUACAUGUAUAAGCUGAAACAAGAGUACAGGACAGUGACCCAUGAUUCGGCGAUCAUGGUGGCAGUACGAGUCGCGCUUUCACUUGUAUAUCCCACUCUCGCUGCAGUGAUUAAACUUUGGGGAGAUCACCGGCCAUAUAUUAUAAUGUAUGCCAAACACGCCCUAGCAAUAGGCAAUACAGGUAACAUGGCCAUGGUGCCGUGAGCCCGUGACCACCAGAAAUAUCUAUAGCACACUUGUGCCCUUUAUGUUGAUUGAUGCAUGGAUCUGCGUGCUAGAGGAUGCAUUCUUUAAAGUUUAAAUGUUACAUUUUGACACCACUUGCAUAGUUGCUGUACAAUAUUCAUCUGGUAUGCAUGCUACUGUUACGAUGGAUGAAUGGUCACAGCUUACUGAAGUCCACGCACUCAUUUGUUAAUCUGAAAGCUGAAAUCGGUUAAAUGGAUGAAUGGUCACAGCUAGCACAAGCUGCCGACAAAUAAUAAGCUCAGCCCUCACCCAAAUGUGACUUGUUAACCGAUUCAGAGGCAACUGAACUAUUCAAGUCAGUGUCCAGUCAAAACAGGAACGCUGGGCCAGGUAAUGCAGCUAUCAAACAUUGCCAUAAAUAAUUAACUUGAAGCAAAAGGAACAGCAGCCUGCCGAUCCCUCUCACCUGUUCAGCUUUGCGCCUUCCAUGAACAGCAGACAUGAAAUGACCGGAUCACCAUAUUUCUACUGCUGACAAGCAGAAGAAAUUGCUUCACCAUGGCUAUUCCUGGGACCGAACAUGAGCAACAAGACCCGGUCAGGUCAGAGUAGCCAAUGGAUGGCAGGAAUCUCAGAAACUAGAAAAGAUUCGAGUACUACGUAAGUAGCUAAGAAUAGACUGCAAUCCUGACCCAGGAUUACAUUCGAGCCAGUGUUGUCAACUGCUAUCCAACAAAAUCCUCAACGUGUAUGCAACUUAUGCCAAUUCGGAAGGAGUUUACAUGAAAAGUCUCAUAAGUUGGGCUUUUUAUACAAUCUUGAAAAAGGGAUAGAUCAUAAAUGCAGGAAAAAAAACUUUAGUCCCUUUCUCACUUAAUUUCAGACAUGUCAACUCAUGCAGCAACCUCCGUCUUGAAUAGUGCUUCGCUUCCACCAAGAGUCUCAUAAUCAAGGGGACUUCACUCUUGGAAAAGUAGAUUCUCAGAAGAAUAGAGGGGAAAAAACAAACUCCAGUCCAUUUCUUACUUUAUUUCAGAUAUAUAUUAAGUCAUGUAGAAACUCCCACCUUGAAUAGUUCAUUUUCAUCAUAUUAGGCUGUAAAUACUAAACAGUGUAAAGUUAAAUUUGCCCUCAGGGGCAUGUGAUCCCAUCCCAAACACAUUGGAUGUGCAUAGGAUGGGGUGCACUACAGGAGAGACAACAGUAUAUUCCAUCACUGUAGCAAGCUGCUCAAAAUCCACUACUGAACAGCUAUUCCAUCAUAACUGGUAAAGGAGGAAUGCCUCUGUCAAAUGGCAGCAAAGAUGGGAUCAAUUUCAUUCCUAUAACUUAAGUUGUACCACACAUCCAUCACUGUAGCAAGGUGGUCAAAAUCCACUACAAGUUCCAAAUGGUGUCAAUAACCAUAGUACAAAAAAUAAAACAAAGAACUUACAUGCCACAUAAAGCUAUCUCCAGAUAUAUUUAGCAUCUUAAUCCUGAUUCUCCUCAACGGAAUGCUUCAAUCAGUUCAGGAAUUAAUGUAAAGUAUGGUUAUGAAUUUCCUCCCUGAAAAUCAUAGAUCUAGUUGAAUCCUACAAGAUUUUUUUUUUAAAAAAAAAAAAGAAAUUGCAGGGAUCACGAUUCACGAGACUAUAUCAUACUUAGCUGUUUAACCAGAGAACACUGUUUGCUUGCUUUUAGCUGAAAUUUGGCACAUGCAAAGCAUGAACACUAGUUACAAACCUGCUAACUUAACAAUAUAGCCACUGAAUAAUGAUAUAUCAUAUAUGGAAAGAGAAGACUGAAACUGGGUUCUCCUAACCUUGAACUGGUGGUACACCAUCUGAUGUCAGUUCUUGACAAUAACCUUGCUGAAAGGCUGCACAUCGCAAACAUUGCUGAUGAACCUAUAUGUCGAAGGUCAUGAAAAAAUGAUUGGCUACUUAUAGUUCAUUAAUAUUGCUGGUAAAUUCACCUGCACGAAUAAACAUGUAGUAGCAAAGGAAAUGGUGUAAUGCAAUCAGACAAAGGCAAUAAAGUCAUCCUCUUCAAUGUACUGUGUAUAUGCUUGCCAAGAUAAAAACUUCUACUUUAACGAACACAGAAAUGCAGAAUGAAAUAACCUUGAACUGCAGAAAUACAAAAGUUAUGCAGAUUGUCAUUCCUUGAAGUCUCUCAGUUUGUAGGUUAAGAACAUGCAAGUUAAUUGGUGGAAUUUGCUCUGUUUUUAAUUCUCCAAGGUUCUGAAUCAAAUAUUUACAUCUUUAUUAUACCAUCAUAUUUCAAAACAGCAAAUUAUAUGACAGAAUUGGAAAAAUGACAUUCUAAACACAGUUUAGAAACAUGCCAUAGGCCCACAAGAUUUUUAGAGUGAAAUACCCAAUGUACUCCAUUCCAAAUUAUAAGACAUUUUGUCUUUUCUAGAUUCAUGGCUUCAACUAUGUAUCUAGACAUAGUGUAUAUCUAAGUGCAUAGCAAAAGUUAUGUAUCUAGAAAAGACAAAACAUCUUAUAAUUUGGAAGGGAGGGAAUAUUUUAAACAGCAAACAUUGAAAUAACAUUUAUCCAAAGUCAAAAUUGUUAGAAAAUCUCAGCUGAAACAUUCAAUUUACUAAAUACAGAAACUAGAAAAGUGUAAAUGUUACUGAAGCAUAUGUCACUCUUGUUUGCUUUAAUGAGCAUGGACUCGUUCCAUAAAAAAUGAGUAUGAACAACACUGUUGACUGUCAAAGAACUUGCAUAAACCUUGUAAAGACAGUAUCCCUCUGUUCCAAACUGUAAGUGGUUUUUGUUUGGUAGUAUAAUUAGUUUGGUCAAAUAAGUAUAACUUUGACCAAAUUUAUAGAAAAAUGCAACAACUUCUAUAGCCUCAAGUUAGUUUUGUAUAAUUCACCAUGAAAUACAUUUUGAUAGUGGUUUUAUUUGGUACCGCAGAUGUUAACAUAUUUUAAUAUAAACAUGGUCAAAGCUAGAAAAGUUAGCACAAUAUUAAAACAACCUACAAUUUGGAGCAGAGGGAGCAGUAUUAUAAGUGACUGGAGAUGUCCUGGAGCUUGGAUAAAGGAACAUGAAAUCUUAAUAAUGUAUUCGAAACACUAACUUUGCAAUUCCCAGGAUAUAAUGUUUAAGGCAAUCCCAACCUGGGAAGCGUAAUUGUCAUGGCACAAACUAACCAGUCAACAACAAUAGGCACAGAAGGAAGCAAUAUCUUUUUAUGGAUGAAUCAUUAAGCUACAAAUGUCUGCAGAUGCAUAACAAACAGAAAAAUACCAUAUAUUUACCUCAUAUAUAAUUUUUAAAUUCAGAGGGUAGAGAUAAAUAAAAACACACGAGUUUCUAAAUCAUUGUAUCCAAGAUACAAACCAGAACAGGCCCAAAAAUGUAUAAUUAAGCAUAGACACUUCUUAAAACAGAUGCAACAAAGUGAGAACGAGACUGAUGCAACCUUGUGAAGGAAUGAGGAAACUAACAUAGAAUUGUGACUAAACUGUUGCUAAACUUGCACGCAGGUCCACACACAGAGUAACUCUGACAAGAUAUUAAGGCACUCCCCAACAGAACCAUAGCUUUAAUGUAUUGAAGCAAGAAGAUAACCAAUACAGGGACUAUAUACAAGUUAAAACAAAAGUUGCUUUGAUAAUGCAGCCUGUAUAUAUCAGGGCAAGACAGGUUACUUUGACUGAAGCUCCACCUACAGACACUUAAUCAAACUGGUGUGAGCUAAAUACAUCUAGUAUACAGCAUUUACAGGACUUUCCAGGUAUCAGGUUAUCACAACUCACACGAUUCCACCAUGCCUAAAACUGCUAUCCCCUCCAUCAACACUGGAAUCCAAACCUGGUGAAUCAUACCAUUUCGGUCCAGUGUAAAAUCCCUCUACAUGAAUACCUACCAAACUUGGGUCAGUUAC